rnacentral:rRNA from 1 species
AUGGCGACCGGCGCACGGGUGAGUAACGCGUAUUCAACCUGCCCUUUACUAUGGGACAGCCCGUCGAAAGGCGGAUUAAUACCGUAUGUUGUCAUGUUGAUGCAUAUUUUCAUGACCAAAGGCUUCGGCCGGUAAAGGAUGGGGAUGCGUCUGAUUAGCUUGCCGGCGGGGUAACGGCCCACCGGGGCGACGAUCAGUAGGGGUUCUGAGAGGAAGGUCCCCCACAUUGGAACUGAGACACGGUCCAAACUCCUACGGAAGGCAGCAG